UUAAGCAACUAUAAUAUAAAAUUCUAUACACAUAGGCAGUGAGAAAAAACUUUUAUGGUCUGAAACAAUUUUCAUGCUAUAUGUCAUAAUAGAAGGUCUUCUAGAAUCCAUGUAUGCCCAACAAAAGCCACUGAAGGGAAGCUUACCAGAGUGCCAUCGAGUUCCUUCCCCUAAGGAUCAGACUUCCAGACUCAAGGUCUCUCCUGAGCACACGGCUUCAUAAACCAGCUGCACAAGCAACUGCAUCUGGGGAUCUGCUUCAAGAGAAACUUAACUAAAGCAAGAAUGGGCUCUAACUUCAGGAUACCUAGGAUUCUAACCUCGUUCCAUUACUUACCAACGAUAUGACCUGGGAAAAAUUAUAUACCUGCUGUGUCUCCAAAGUCUUCAGGCAGAGGCAACAACCACCAGGCAAACUUGAAGAGUUCUUGAACUACUUUUGAGGUUCCUCCUCAAUUUCACAGAUAUACCCUCCUCAGACUCCAGCCCCCAGUAUCUAAUGCCUGGAGCCUGAGUAGCAGGAUGGGAUUAAGUGACUUCUUGACUUGUGAACAAGAUAAAUGGAAGGUUCUGUUCAGAGGCUCUCAACUAUUUUG
rnacentral:lncRNA from 1 species